rnacentral:rRNA from 1 species
UACAGAGGGUGCGAGCGUUAAUCGGAAUUACUGGGCGUAAAGCGUGCGUAGACGGUCAUGUAAGUCGGGUGUGAAAGCCCCGGGCUCAACCUGGGAAUUGCAUUCGAGACUGCAUGGCUAGGGUGCGGAAGAGGGAAGCGGAAUUUCCGGUGUAGCGGUGAAAUGCGUAGAUAUCGGAAGGAACACCAGUGGCGAAAGCGGCUUCCUGGUCCAGCACCGACGUUCAGGCACGAAAGCGUGGGGAGCAAACAGG